UUUAGGAUUAAAGUAAGAGAAAAAAAACAUUGACUCAAGAUGCGUCCCUUAAUUAAGAGAAGGAAGGCACGUAUCUUAGUAAAAACGUGUCACAAAACUAGUGGAUGAAGGAUUUUCUUCUCUCGGUGUUUCUUCUUCUAUUCUCCUCUCCUCCCGAUCUGCAUCUCCGCCAACGACUCCGAUCAAAAUCAAUCAGGUUCCCUCUCUCUUCCUUCUCAUCACUGAUCUAUACUAUGAUUCAGAUUAUUCCCUCAAAUCGCAUUUUCUUUAGAUUUUCUCGAUUCAAUCCAAUUUCUCUUACUCUGUUGCUCAAAGCAUGAUCUUUUCUUAUUGUUUAUGGUUUGGAUUCCGGCGAAACUCAACGAGGGUGGUGCGGUUAGAGGCCGUGGAGGCGAAGAGAGGAAGAAAGGUUUGGGCUUUGUUAAAGGAGAAGUCAGAAAAGACGCCAUUGUCGACUUGAUAGCCGAGGAGAAGAAGAAGAGAGUUAAACCCUACAUAUACAUAUAAAUGAAGGAGAGCUGGAGCCUGAGCCUGAGUCGCAACCAGAGACUGUAUCUGAGACUACUGUUGGUGAUCAGAUGUGCUGUUACCGAUUGGUGGACAGGAUACGAAUCAGCCUAUGGGUUUGCCAGUCCGUUCUGGAAGUGUUCAGGUUCGCGUUCGUUUAACCACAACCCAAGCUGGUAGUAGCUCUAAGGCAGUAGAUAGGCUUGAGAAACAGUUGAGUUUCCAGAAAAGUGUUGAUGUUAGAUCAGCAAGUCCAAGAACGGGCUCUCUCGAAAAUGGUUCUAAGCUCCAUGCCGAGAAGAAAAAGCCAUGGACUUUUUUGGUGGUAGCAUCCUCCGGGGUAAGUGGCAUGAACGCUGGUGGGGAUGAAUCUGUUGAGAUUGUAAUAAGAUACAUUCUCUCUGAUUCGAUGCAUGUGAUGACCAAGAGGUUUCAAGAGAUGCUCAUGCGAUAAAUAUCGGUGUGAUAAAAGUGUUGGAACAGCAUCAACAAACAGUUUCAGGUCAGUAAUGGUGGUGUAUUUGUUUCUCCGCCAAUUGUGUACGAGCCUAUUUCAUUGGAGAGCAUUUAGAAAUGUGGUAUUUAGAAAUGUGAUGCUCAGGUUGUUCUCUGGGAGGAAGAGGAUCCCAUUUAUCACAAACUCUUGUUCUCUUUCAUGUUUUUCCUUUUGUUUAUCAAUCACAAUCUUAAACAUUUUUUCUA